CCUGGAAAACGGGGUGGUAAAUCCCGGGAUGUUCCAAGUUGAUUGGCAUGGUCUUUUUGGGAAAGCUUUCCGCGGUAUGGGAUGGGGUCGCGUCCUUUUCAGCUUGACGGCGGGGUAACGGCCCCACCGUGGCUUCGACGGGUAGCCGGCCUGAGAGGGCGACCGGCCACAUUGGGACUGAGAUACGGCCCAGACUCCUACGGGAGGCAGCAGUGGGGAAUAUUGCACAAUGGGCGCAAGCCUGAUGCAGCGACGCCGCGUGAGGGAUGGAGGCCUUCGGGUUGUAAACCUCUUUUAUCGGGGAGCAAGCGUGAGUGAGUUUACCCGUUGAAUAAGCACCGGCUAACUACGUGCCAGCAGCCGCGGUAAUACGUAGGGUGCAAGCGUUAUCCGGAAUUAUUGGGCGUAAAGGGCUCGUAGGCGGUUCGUCGCGUCCGGUGUGAAAGUCCAUCGCUUAACGGUGGAUCCGCGCCGGGUACGGGCGGGCUUGAGUGCGGUAGGGGAGACUGGAAUUCCCGGUGUAACGGUGGAAUGUGUAGAUAUCGGGAAGAACACCAAUGGCGAAGGCAGGUCUCUGGGCCGUUACUGACGCUGAGGAGCGAAAGCGUGGGGAGCGAACAGGAUUAGAUACCCUGGUAGUCCACGCCGUAAACGGUGGAUGCUGGAUGUGGGGCCCGUUCCACGGGUUCCGUGUCGGAGCUAACGCGUUAAGCAUCCCGCCUGGGGAGUACGGCCGCAAGGCUAAAACUCAAAGAAAUUGACGGGGGCCCGCACAAGCGGCGGAGCAUGCGGAUUAAUUCGAUGCAACGCGAAGAACCUUACCUGGGCUUGACAUGUUCCCGACGGCCGUAGAGAUACGGCUUCCCUUCGGGGCGGGUUCACAGGUGGUGCAUGGUCGUCGUCAGCUCGUGUCGUGAGAUGUUGGGUUAAGUCCCGCAACGAGCGCAACCCUCGCCCCGUGUUGCCAGCGGAUUGUGCCGGGAACUCACGGGGGACCGCCGGGGUUAACUCGGAGGAAGGUGGGGAUGACGUCAGAUCAUCAUGCCCCUUACGUCCAGGGCUUCACGCAUGCUACAAUGGCCGGUACAACGGGAUGCGACGCGGCGACGCGGAGCGGAUCCCUGAAAACCGGUCUCAGUUCGGAUCGCAGUCUGCAACUCGACUGCGGAAGGCGGAGUCGCUAGUAAUCGCGAAUCAGCAACGUCGCGAUGCGGC
rnacentral:rRNA from 1 species